rnacentral:rRNA from 1 species
UCCUCGUCUCGCUUCUCUCUCACUUCCAAACUUGCCUCUACGACGAGCGCUCUCUCUUUCACGAUCACCAACGUCUACGCGCCCGCGGACCACGACCUGACGGAGGAUUUCGUCCAUGAUCUCAUCUCGGUUGCCGAGGGUGUGACGGGGCCGUGGCUCCUGCUCGGGGAUUUCAACCUGAUCCGGUUCCCUCACGAGAAGAACAAUGAUCGGUUCGACGCCCCGCGCGCGGCAACUUUCAACUCUCUGAUCAAUACCCUUGCUCUCCAUGAGCUGGCUCUUUCGGAUCGCCGGUUUACCUGGACGAACAAACGUGACCCCCCCACGCUUGCUCGCCUGGACCGUGUCUUCUUUGACUCCGCCUGGGACACGGCCUUUCCGGAUUCCGCUCUGUCGUCCCGCCCCCGCCCUACCUCGGAUCAUGUUCCUCUAGUGGUG